rnacentral:rRNA from 1 species
UUUGAUGUAGUAUCUGGUGCAAUGACAUGAAUCCUUGAAAAUUGAGACUUUUGUUUUCCCGAAGCUUUGGUCGUACUAAUAACCGCAUCAGGUCUCCAAGGUGAAUAGCCUCUAGUUAAUAGAAUAAUGUAGAUAAGGGAAGUCGGCAAAUUAGAUCCGUAACUUCGGGAUAAGGAUUGGCUCUGAGGGCUAAGUGGGUUUAAGGUGUUAAUAGUAUAAGUUUGAUAUGGGAUUGAGUGUUUUGAGUUGCUUCGGUGAUUUGAAAUAUUUGGUUCUAAUGUCUUAGUUGUCUAUUUUCAUCUACCACUAUGAAUAGCUAACUCAGAACUGGUACGGACAAGGGGAAUCCGACUGUUUAAUUAAAACAAAGCAUUGUGAUGGUGUGAAAGAUAUGUUGACACAAUGUGAAUUCUGCCCAGUGCUCUGAAUGUGAAAGUGGCGUAAUUCAAGCAAGCGCGGGUAAACGGCGGGAGUAACUAUGACUCUCUUAAGGUAGCCAAAUGCCUCGUCAUCUAAUUAGUGACGCGCAUGAAUGGAUUAAUGAGAUUCCCACUGUCCCUAUCUACUAUCUAGCGAAACCACAGCCAAGGGAACGGGCUUGGAAAUAUCAGCGGGGAAAGAAGACCCUGUUGAGCUUGACUCUAGUUUAACAUUGUGAAAUGACUUUAGAGGUGUAGCAUAGGUGGGAGGAGGUAACUCCGAUCCUGAAAUACCACUACUCUGAAUGUUGUUUUACUUAUUCCAUGAAAGAGGAUACUUACUUAAUUGUAAGUGUUAUGAUGUAAACUUUGGUGACCUCUUUGGGAGACAUUUGUUAGGUGGGGAGUUCGGCUGGGGCGGCACAUCUGUUAAAGAAUAACACAGGUGUCCUAAGAUGAGCUCAAUAAGAACAGAAAUCUUAUGUAGAACAAAAGGGUAAAAGCUCAUUUGAUUUUUGCUUUUCAGUAUGAAUACAAACUAUAAAAGUAUGGCCUAUCGAUCCUUUACAUAAAGGGAGCUGAUCUGGUGAGAGGUGUCAAGAAAGUUACCAGCAGGGA